rnacentral:lncRNA from 1 species
CGGUUUGUGGUGCUGCGGCGGAGACGGGGCGGGACUGCUCGAAAAUGAAAGAAAAGAUGAAGAAGUCAAUGCAGAUCGAACGACGGGGCUGGCUGCAUCCACAACGGUCCAACAUUGGCUCCUACAAUGCCCAAAGAAAAAUAAGUGUACAUGAUUCAGGGAACCGACCACAAGUAUAUACUUAUACACGGGGAAUUUGAUGAUUUGCCACAUCU